AUCACCUGUGUUUUAUGUAUCUGGCGUCUCCUGAGCUCCCGUCCUCUGCAUCUCUGCGUGUAAGCCUCCAGUGAUUUCUCCCGGGUUCUUUUUUUUUCCGUUUGGACUUUUGAGAUUCCUUCGUUUGUUAUAUUUAUGUUAAAGACUCCGACAAGGCUUCUCACGGACCAAGGUAGAAAAUUUGUUUAUAAGAAAAUUUGGGCUGGGGAAAAGCUAGAGGUGUUGUGGAUCAGACAACCUCGGGGAACACCUUUGUCCAGAUGAACUUGUGGAAAGUGAGGGCUUUCAUGAGGCAGCAGGGCCACAACUGCUCCCGCUGGUCCAGUGUAACAGUUUCAGAUGCUCGUCAGGAGGAUGCAACCUCAUGCAGUGUCAGUGUGUAAAAUUGCUGGCACACUGACAGAUGGUUCCACUGCAGCUGUCUUGGGCCACCACCAGUGGAUGCACCCUUUAUUGCCCAAUGUGCAAAUAAACCUGUUUUAAUGUAGUAUUUCUGUUUAACUGGCUCCUUGCUUUUAAGGUAAUUUGAUAAAAUAUCAAACUUAUC